rnacentral:misc_RNA from 1 species
GACAGCAUAUGCUUCAGGACAAUAUGGUAUAAUGUAAAAUUCUUGACAUGUUCAUUUGUGAAAUAAUCAUGGGUCAUCGAUAUUAAGAAUAAGAGAUUGUUGUGAAAUAAUGAUAGGGCCAGAUAGGAUGUUGGGGUAGGUGUUUUAAUUACUAUAUAUAUACCAGGGCAACAUGAAUGAUUCCAACAAGCAAUAAAGAGGAAUGUUGAAGAGAAUGACAAUGGAUUGUAGAGUUUUCUUGGUGUUGGUUUUUGUUGCUUUGAUUGUAGAAGGAGCCUUGGCAGCUCAACAUAUUGUUGGAGGAAGCCAAGGUUGGGAGGAAUCUACAGAUUUCAAUUCAUGGACUUCUGGUAAAAAAUUUAAGGUUGGAGAUCAACUAGUUUUUAAGUACACUUCAGGGCUACACAGUGUGGUUGAACUUGCUGGUGAGAGUGCCUACAAGAACUGUGAUCUUGGCAGUGCACUAGACUCUAUGAAUACUGGCAAUGAUGUAGUGAAAUUGAGCAAGGUGGGCACUCGUUACUUUGCCUGUGGAACCUUAGGGCACUGCGGCCAAGGCAUGAAGGUGAAGAUUACAACAGAAGCAGGAACUGCACCUUCUACACCAGACUCAUCUUCCUCAUCACCAGCUGCUUCCUCUGCCUCCAUUCACUCUUCUGCUUGUUCAUUUGUUCUGGUUGCCGCAUUAGUGGCCAGCAGUUUGCUUUAUUACAUCCUUUGAGCAAGUUAAUUAAGGUUAUUGGGUUUAAAGAUUGGCUUGAAAGCUAUUCAUUUUGUACGCUCGUUUGUGGAGUUUCUUAAAAUGUAGUUCAUUUGUGGAAUUUGUUUGUAGGUUGAGGAACAAAUCAUAAAAGUAUGCAUCUGUUGGAUAUUGUUCUUAAUAGAUGACUGAAAUAAAAGAUUU